AUUGAACGCUGGCGGCAGGCCUAACACAUGCAAGUCGAGCGAGCGGCGGACGGGUGAGUAAUGUAUGGGGACUGCCCGAUAGAGGGGGAUAACUCCUGGAAACGGUGGCUAAUACCGCAUAUUCUCGGAUAAUCCAUAUGGGAUUAGCUAGUAGGUAGGGUAAUGGCUUACCUAGGCGACGAUCCCCAGCUGGUCUGAGAGGAUGAUCAGCCACACUGGGACUGAGACACGGCCCAGACUCAUACGGAGGCAGCAGUGGGGAAUAUUGCACAAUGGGCGCAAGCCUGAUGCAGCCAUGCCGCGUGUAUGAAGAAGGCCCUCGGGUUGUAAAGUACUUUCAGUCGGGAGGCGUUACCGACAGAAGAAGCACCGGCUAACUCCGUGCCAGCAGCCGCGGUAAUAC
rnacentral:rRNA from 1 species